rnacentral:rRNA from 1 species
UGGGGAAUAUUGCACAAUGGGCGCAAGCCUGAUGCAGCCAUGCCGCGUGUGUGAAGAAUGCCUUCGGGUUGUAACGCACUAUCAGCGAGGAGGAAGGGUAGUGUGUUAAUAGCACAUUGCAUUGACGUUACUCGCAGAAGAAGCACCGGCUAACUCCGUGCCAGCAGCCGCGGUAAUACGGAGGGUGCAAGCGUUAAUCGGAAUUACUGGGCGUAAAGCGCACGCAGGCGGUUUGUUAAGUCAGAUGUGAAAUCCCCGCGCUUAACGUGGGAACUGCAUUUGAAACUGGCAAGCUAGAGUCUUGUAGAGGGGGGUAGAAUUCCAGGUGUAGCGGUGAAAUGCGUAGAGAUCUGGAGGAAUACCGGUGGCGAAGGCGGCCCCCUGGACAAAGACUGACGCUCAGGUGCGAAAGCGUGGGGAGCAAACA